GAUGAAGAACGCAGUGAAAUGCGAUAAGUAAUGUGAAUUGCAGAAUUCAGUGAAUCAUCGAAUCUUUGAACGCACAUUGCGCCCGCCAGUAUUCUGGCGGGCAUGCCUGUUCGAGCGUCAUUUCAACCAUCAAGCCCCCGGCUUGUGUUGGGGACCUGCGGCUGCCGCAGGCCCUGAAAAGCAGUGGCGGGCUCGCUGUCACACCGAGCGUAGUAGCAUACAUCUCGCUCUGGGCGUGCUGCGGGUUCCGGCCGUUAAACCACCUUCAUAACCCAAGGUUGACCUCGGAUCAGGUAGGAAGACCCGCUGAACUUAAGCAUAUCAAUAAGCGGAGA
rnacentral:misc_RNA from 1 species